rnacentral:rRNA from 1 species
CGGGAUUACUGGGGCGUAAGCGCACGCAGGCGGUCUGUUAAGUCAGAUGUGAAAUCCCCGGGCUUAACCUGGGAACUGCAUUUGAAACUGGCAGGCUUGAGUCUCGUAGAGGGGGGUAGAAUUCCAGGUGUAGCGGUGAAAUGCGUAGAGAUCUGGAGGAAUACCGGUGGCGAAGGCGGCCCCCUGGACGAAGACUGACGCUCAGGUGCGAAAGCGUGGGGAGCAAACAGGAUUAGAUACCCUGGUAGUCCACGCCGUAAACGAUGUCGACUUGGAGGUUGUGCCCUUGAGGCGUGGCUUCCGGAGCUAACGCGUUAAGUCGACCGCCUGGGGAGUACGGCCGCAAGGUUAAAACUCAAAUGAAUUGACGGGGGCCCGCACAAGCGGUGGAGCAUGUGGUUUAAUUCGAUGCAACGCGAAGAACCUUACCUGGCCUUGACAUCCAGAGAACUUAGCAGAGAUGCUUUGGUGCCUUCGGGAACUCUGAGACAGGUGCUGCAUGGCUGUCGUCAGCUCGUGUUGUGAAAUGUUGGGUUAAGUCCCGCAACGAGCGCAACCCUUAUCCUUUGUUGCCAGCGGCUCGGCCGGGAACUCAAAGGAGACUGCCGGUGAUAAACCGGAGGAAGGUGGGGAUGACGUCAAGU